rnacentral:rRNA from 1 species
UACACUCCUGCGGGAGGCAGCAGUGGGGAAUUUUGGACAAUGGGCGCAAGCUUGAUCCAGCCAUGCCGCGUGCGGGAAGAAGGCCUUCGGGUUGUAAACCGCUUUUGUCAGGGAAGAAAAGGUUCUGGCUAAUACCUGGGACUCAUGACGGUACCUGAAGAAUAAGCACCGGCUAACUACGUGCCAGCAGCCGCGGUAAUACGUAGGGUGCAAGCGUUAAUCGGAAUUACUGGGCGUAAAGCGUGCGCAGGCGGUUAUGCAAGACAGAGGUGAAAUCCCCGGGCUCAACCUGGGAACUGCCUUUGUGACUGCAUGGCUAGAGUACGGUAGAGGGGGAUGGAAUUCCGCGUGUAGCAGUGAAAUGCGUAGAUAUGCGGAGGAACACCGAUGGCGAAGGCAAUCCCCUGGACCUGUACUGACGCUCAUGCACGAAAGCGUGGGGAGCAAACAGGAUUAGAAACCCCUGUAGUCCCAUGA